rnacentral:misc_RNA from 1 species
CCAAUAGCGUAUAUUAAAGUUGUUGCAGUUAAAAAGCUCGUAGUUGAAUUUCGGGGUUAGUAGGUUGGUCAUGCCUCUGGUAUGUACUGGUCUCACUGAUUCCUCCUUCCUGAUGAACCUUAAUGCCAUUUAUUUGGUGUUUUGGGAAUUUGGACUGUUACUUUGAAAAAAUUAGAGUGUUUAAAGCAAGCUAACGCUUGAAUACAUUAGCAUGGAAUAAUGAAAUAGGACGUUCGAUCCUAUUUUGUUGGUUUCUAGGAUUGACGUAAUGAUUAAUAGGGAUAGUUGGGGGCAUUAGUAUUCAAUUGUCAGAGGUGAAAUUCUUGGAUUUAUUGAAGACUAACUACUGCGAAAGCAUUUGCCAAGGAUGUUUUCAUUAAUCAAGAACGAAAGUUAGGGGAUCGAAGACGAUCAGAUACCGUCGUAGUCUUAACCAUAAACUAUGCCGACUAGGGAUCGGAUGAUGUUAAUUUUUUAAUGACUCAUUCGGCGCCUUACG